UGAGGACUGGUCUGACAAAGCUCCUCACUUUGCCCUCACUUUUCUCCUGGGCCUGCUGCAGCAGAAAGGCACAUGGUGAGACCUGGGUGUGCUUCUAGGGGUGUGUCCUGCCUAACCUGCACCUUCCUGGCAGCAGGGCUGCCCUUGGGACAGCACUCAGUGGUGUUUGUCACCUUCUGUGCGGAUUGGUGGCCUGGCGAGGCAUUGAGGGCUGCAGUAAAUAGCUCUGGAGUAAGUGCAGAUGGAGUGGGACAUGAAAAGUACAACUUGUUACUGAAUUACACAGGAACAGCAUUGGGCCUCUAAUCUUUAUUUGAAAAUGUGUACACCUGGGAAGCAUGCAGGAUGUCAGCUUUGUAUGGCCUGAUUAAAGUGUACUGUGGUGCAAGACUUGGCAAGGAACAAACAUUUGCAGGACGGUUGUACUUUGAGAAUACUUCAUACUCUGCCUGAAGAAACAGAAGUUUGCUUGCAUCACUUUGAUUUGCUGUGCUGAGCAGUUGAUUAUUAAGAUGCUAAUAAGCGAGAUUGAAUUGUAGCCUGACAGUUAAAGACAGUACUUUUAAUUUCAUAAAUAUAAGUGAGUUUAAAUGCUGAUGGAUUUUGUCCCAGUGAAUGAAAAUAUCAGCUUUUAAGAGAUGGAUAAUAAACAUUUUGUACCAUUCUGUUUAGUUUUGUGU
ensembl:lncRNA